AUUCUCUACCUUAGUAUUGUGGAUAAAGUGUGUGGCAAAAUGCACUCCACAUCUGAACAAGAUUUUUGUAGAAAGAUCCAACCCAGAGAUACUGUAACAGCAUUUUCUGCCCUGUCACUUCUGGGGUAGAGUUAGUUUGCCCAUCCUUCCUGGUUAGAUCUGUGCGGAUAGGGAUGGGGACACUGGGUGCCCAGACCAGGAAGUGUCUGUUCUCUCAGUAUCCUAUUAAAAAAGGAAGAAGACAGUGCCUUCAUGUUGUCUCGUCCAGAUUCCUUCUCAGCCCAGGAAUGUUCUUGAGUACAUCCAGGAAGCUACUAGGAGGGGGACCGGUCGGAUGAGACAGAAAUUCAUCAUGUUCAUGGAAGCAUGCCACGUGUCUUCACGGAGCAGAUCUGGUCUCCUGACAAACACAAUGGGCUGUAGAUACCAAGUUCCCACCAGGACCCAAACUCAGUCGUCACACCAUCACACAGAAGAUAAGGCUUCUACACGAGGGCUCAAUUUCACUUAACCUCUCUGGUGCUAGGAAACCUGUGUUUUGAAAAACUUUACCACUGUUUUCUUUUAGACAGAACUUCUUUUGGUUAAUUUUUGUCACAUGCAGAAUUUGACUCAGGCAGUCUACACCUAACUCAGUUCAGUUUUCUUUGGAACUGAGCUGGGCCACACUGUGUUAUAAUACUUUGAUCUGGCUGGAGACAACGCAGAUUUGCCAGGCGGAAGGCGAGCUGUUAUUGAUUUCAAGCUCUGGAGUGCCCAGCCUCGCUGAAAACUGUUGAUGACCUUGAGGGGCCGUGACAAACUGCUAGAGGCUUUUCAACAAAAUGUCAGGAUGAAACAAACUAUGGGGGAAAAUUGUCAAGAAAGACGCACCUUAGACAAAAUGCUAUUGACACUGUUUCUAGAACAAAGGUGGGAUUUGUAAAAAGUAUCUGGACAUGGCCUGAAUUCGCAUGCAUUGAGGAAGCACUGCAUCUUCCCCGAAACCCAGGCGAGCGUGGCCCUUGGAAAUGUCUAGAAGCACUUCCAGCAGCCAUGGUGAGCAGAGGGCACAGAUGGGGCAUAGUGGCUGGGAGCCAGGAUGCUGACUAUUAGAGAAGAGUUCACCCCAAAUUCCAAGAGCUGUGCCCGGG
rnacentral:lncRNA from 1 species